rnacentral:tRNA from 1 species
GUAGGAAUAGUUUAAUCAAAACAUUAGAUUGUGAUUCUAAAGACAGAGGUUAGAGCCCCCUUUCCCACC